AGCAUGUGGUUUAAUUCGAAGCGAAACGCGAAGAACCUUACCAGGUCUUGACAUCCCGAUGCUAUUUCUAGAGAUAGAAAGUUACUUCGGUACAUCGGUGACAGGUGGUGCAUGGUUGUCGCCAGCUCGUGUCGUGAGAUGUUGGGUUAAGUCCCGCAACGAGCGCAACCCCUAUUGUUAGUUGCCAUCAUUCAGUUGGGCACUCUAGCGAGACUGCCGGUAAUAAACCGGAGGAAGGUGGGAUGACGUCAAAUCAUCAUGCCCCUUAUGACCUGGGCUACACACGUGCUACAAUGGUUGGUACAACGAGUUGCGAGUCGGUGACGGCGAGCUAAUCUCUUAAAGCCAAUCUCAGUUCGGAUUGUAGGCUGCAACUCGCCUACAUGAAGUCGGAAUCGCUAGUAAUCGCGGAUCAGCACGCCGCGGUGAAUACGUUCCCGGGCCUU
rnacentral:rRNA from 1 species